CUGACGGCACCCAUUCACUGCAGAGGAUCUAUUGGUGAGACGGUGAAGGAAUGACACAUUUCUACAAAUCUGAUGAAGAAAUAAACUCAUCCUAAUCUUGGACGUCUGAGCACAUUUUCAGCAAAUGACCAUUUUUGUGUGAACUUUCCCUUUAAGGCCACUGAAAAUGUGUUUGUAGACUUUGAUUUCUGUUCAAAAUGAGUGUCGUAACACAGUGAGAGUGAAAUUACCGUGGUGUCAUAUUCACACGCUUGUCUGCAGUGUCUCAUCAAAGUUCAUUUUAGAUUCUGUCUGGAAAAUCAGAGAACAUUCAGAAUGAGUUUCCAGGUCUGUUUUCUAGACAAACGAACAGGGACUAAAAUAAAAGUGUCUGUGGCGAACUCUGAGGAGGAAUUCAGAAACAACACAGUUGAAGAGAAAAAAAAAGAAAACUCUUGUCUGAAGACAGCAGAUAUAAACACUGUGGACUUUACUGCAAUCACAAGCUUCUGUUUCAUGAUCGUACACUUGGCUCUCAUGACAUUAAACACAAUGAUCAUAUUGUGAUUGAACCACCAAUGCAUCCACAAUCUCUCUCAUCUGAAGAUAAAUGUUAAGGUGAAUUCAUAUCCAGGACUAAAUCUAUGGAGAAAUUAACUCUGAACAUGUAAAUGCAUUUGAUGCACACUGAAUUCAGAGGAAAUGUAAAACAUGUAUUAAUUAGUUUAGUGCAUCAUUAAUGAAACCACUUCACAUGAUCCACAGAGGAUUAUUAAUACGUUCAUAUUGAGUAUUGAUCAGAUAAAGUGUAAUAUUGAUCUAAUUUAAUAUUAAUAUAUUAUUAAUAAUAAUAAUAUUAAUAUAAAACACAGUAGUAUAUGAUGGAGUUUGUGUUUUCAUGUGUCUCAUGUCAUGUCUCUACAUUCAUAUGCAAAAAUUGUACAUUAUCCUUUCUUUUGUUUACGUUUAUUAAAUCAAACAUGCCCUUGACUAUUUUUAUUUUGUGAAAAGUCUGAUUUCAGUAAUCAGCUGAGAAGCUUAAAAGUAGAGACAAUACAGGAAUAAAAUAUGUAACAAUAAUUUGUAAAGCCAAGAUAUACAAUUCUAUAUAAAUUGUAUUGUUUAUUUUUUAAAUUAUUAGUUUUUUUUUUUUUCAAAACAAGGCAACUAAUUAAUAUUCAGCACACCUCUACCAUAGUAUUUUCUAACCAUUCAGUUAGAUGAUCCAGUGGUAUUUUAUAUUACAUUGUUUCUUGACCUUGAUAGUAAACUACUCAACAGUAAGGAAUUUUUAUGCAAUGUAUACAGAAUAAAAAGAAAUAAACAUUUUAGUAAGGAAGCAGAUUAUGACUUUAUUAUGAAAGGUUAUUCUUUAUAAAUGUCAGGGUACACUCUUAAAAAUACAGUUUUUUUUAUUGGCAUCAGUGGUUGAACAAUCCUUGAACAUCCAUGGAAUCUUUCAAAUGCAGAAAAGGCUCUUUAGAGUCGAAGAAGGUUCUUAAAAUGUUUUCAAAAUGGUUCUUUUAGGAACUGAAAGGUUCCAAAAUGGUGCUGCAGAAACGUUUUUGGAACCUUUAUUUUUUAAGAGUUUAGAGCCAUAUUUUUGACCGGAACGAAAAUGAGGUUGUGAUGGAUUUGUUUAACAACACACUGAUUGUUCAGCUAAUGAAAUGUCUUUGUGAAUAAAACUCUCAGUAAACAAACCUCCAUAAAACUGUUUUAAAAAGUUGUGAGCUGUGAAAAUGACAUGUAUAUAAUCAGGGGAAGAGUUUGUGGUAAGAAGGCAAUAAGCCAAAAGUCUUAGGCCACUAGUAUUUUCAUCAGCUAAAAAUGGUUUAAAGUCAGUUAAAGUCAGUCUUUUGCUGUAGUGUGUCAGACAUCAGUCUACAUUUCUAAAUAUUCAUUUUGCCAUUAAUUAUAAUAAUCCAGUGAUUUUUGUAUGGAGCACAGGCUGUUGUCAGACUCCUUGUGCAAACAGAGAUCUGAUCUCUCCAUCAUUCAGUCCAGUCUGUCUUAAGAAACAGAAAAACAGAGACAGACUAAAUCUAGAAGAACUGUGGCAACAUCUCCAAGAUGCUUUAAGAGACCUACACCUACAAAACUACAGUACUGUUAACAUUUUUAGGCAGUUAGGCACAUAAAAUGAAGAUGCUGUCAAAAACAAUGUCACAAAUAGAUUUUCUUUAUCAAUUGUCAGACCCUUUGGACUGUUUUGUGUGUGUUGUUCCCCAGCGUUGCCCAUAUUUGGACUUUCCGUUUCCCUUUUCAAUUAUUACAUCCCUGUGUCAUAGUUCACCUGUCUCCCCCUGAUUGGUUGUUUCAGUGUAUUUAAGGUUUGGUUGUGUAUGUCAAGUUUGUCGGUGAUUGUAUUGUCAAUUCCUUGAGUUUACGUUGUGGUUGCUAUUCCCUGCUGUUUCCCGUCCGUUCCUGUC